AUACCUUUCUCGGCCUUUUGGCUAAGAUCAAGUGUAGUAUCUGUUCUUAUCAGUUUAAUAUCUGAUAUGUGGGUCAAUGGCUCACAUGAUAUUAAAUUAAUUUUUUAAAGGGGAGAUUUUGAUACAGUAGCUUGCUACUGAAAAUCCCAAGUGUGCUCAAGUCUUGCACUACAGCUUGAGUUUGGCACACCCUAC
rfam:Vigna angularis cultivar Jingnong 6 chromosome 1, whole genome shotgun sequence.